GCCCCUGUAACCCAAUUGGUAAGAGGUGCCAAACUUAAAAUUUGGAUGUUGUGGGUUCGAGUCCCACUAGGGGUA
rnacentral:tRNA from 2 species